rnacentral:tRNA from 1 species
UCCCUGGUGGCUCAGAUGGUAAAAGCGUCUGCCUGUAAUGUGAGAAACCCAGGUUCGAUUCCUGGGUCGGGAA